rnacentral:rRNA from 1 species
CCUACGGGUGACUGCAGUGAGGAAUAUUGGUCAAUGGACGGAAGUCUGAACCAGCCAAGCCGCGUGAAGGAAGAAGGCUCUAUGAGUUGUAAACUGCUUUUGUACAGGGGUAAAUGUAUAUACGUGUGUAUAUUUGAAUGUACCCUCAGACUACGCAUCGGCUAACUCCGUGCCAGCAGCCGCGGUAAUACGGAGGGUCCAAGCGUUAUCCGGAUUUAUUGGGUUUAAAGGGUGCGUAGGUGGGUUGUUAAGUUAGGGGUGAAAGGUCUGGGCUUAACCCGAGGAUUGCCUUUGAAACUGGCUGUCUUGAGAGUGUGUGAGGUAGGCGGAAUGCGUGGUGUAGCGGUGAAAUGCUUAGAUAUCACGCAGAACUCCGAUUGCGAAGGCAGCUUAC